CCCAACGUGAGGUGGAAUCUGAAGAAGCUGGAUGCAAAAUAUUGGUUUGAUGAACAAGAACAACAUACAAGGCUGAAAUGGAACAAAUCCUUUAAUUCUAUUGAACCACCGUAUACCGAACGGUACACAGGAUAACGUG
rfam:Defluviitoga tunisiensis isolate L3 genome assembly, chromosome: I